ACGUCCUGCUCGUGAUCGUCUUCUCACCGUUCACCGGGCAGGCGGAAAAGAGGAAGACCCCCGCGAGGACGUGACUCGCGGGGGUUUUCC
rnacentral:ncRNA from 1 species